rnacentral:rRNA from 1 species
UACGAAGGGGGCUAGCGUUGCUCGGAAUCACUGGGCGUAAAGCGCACGUAGGCGGCUUCUUAAGUCAGGGGUGAAAUCCUGGAGCUCAACUCCAGAACUGCCUUUGAUACUGAGGAGCUUGAGUCCGGGAGAGGUGAGUGGAACUCCGGGUGUAGAGGUGAAAUUCGUAGAUAUUCGGAAGAACACCAGUGGCGAAGGCGGCUCACUGGCCCGGUACUGACGCUGAGGUGCGAAAGCGUGGGGAGCAAACAGG